rnacentral:rRNA from 1 species
GACGAACGCUGGCGGCGUGCCUAACACAUGCAAGUUGAGCGACGAACCAGGGCUUGCCCUGGGGCAAAAGCAGCGAACGGGUGAGUAACACGUGGGUAACCUGCCCCGAUUACCGGGACAACCCGAGGAAACUCGGGCUAAUACCGGAUGUGCUCGUCAGACCCAAGUCUGACGCGUAAAGGAAGCUUCGGCCUCCGAUUCGGGGAGGGGCCCGCGGCCCAUUAGUUAGUUGGUGAGGUAACGGCUCACCAAGACCGCGAUGGGUAGCUGGUCUGAGAGGACGAUCAGCCACACUGGGACUGAGACACGGCCCAGACUCCUAC